UGGGGAAUAUUGGACAAUGGGCGCAAGCCUGAUCCAGCCAUGCCGCGUGAGUGAUGAAGGCCCUAGGGUUGUAAAGCUCUUUCGCCAGGGACGAUAAUGACGGUACCUGGAUAAGAAGCCCCGGCUAACUUCGUGCCAGCAGCCGCGGUAAUACGAAGGGGGCUAGCGUUGUUCGGAAUCACUGGGCGUAAAGCGCACGUAGGCGGAUCUUUAAGUCAGGGGUGAAAUCCCGAGGCUCAACCUCGGAACUGCCUUUGAUACUGGAGGUCUCGAGUCCGGGAGAGGUGAGUGGAACUGCGAGUGUAGAGGUGAAAUUCGUAGAUAUUCGCAAGAACACCAGUGGCGAAGGCGGCUCACUGGCCCGGUACUGACGCUGAGGUGCGAAAAGCGUGGGGAGCAAAACAGGAUUAGAUACCCUGGUAGUCCACGCCGUAAACUAUGGAUGCUAGCCGUUGGGCAGCUUGCUGUUCAGUGGCGCAGCUAACGCUUUAAGCACCCGCCUGGGGGAGUACGGUCGCAAGAUUAAAACUCAAAGGAAUUGACGGGGUCAUAGCUGUUUCC
rnacentral:rRNA from 1 species